AGAGUUUGAUCAUGGCUCAGAUUGAACGCUGGCGGCAGGCCUAACACAUGCAAGUCGAACGGUAACAGGAAGAAGCUUGCUUCUUUGCUGACGAGUGGCGGACGGGUGAGUAAUGUCUGGGAAACUGCCUGAUGGAGGGGGAUAACUACUGGAAACGGUAGCUAAUACCGCAUAACGUCGCAAGACCAAAGAGGGGGACCUUCGGGCCUCUUGCCAUCGGAUGUGCCCAGAUGGGAUUAGCUAGUAGGUGGGGUAACGGCUCACCUAGGCGACGAUCCCUAGCUGGUCUGAGAGGAUGACCAGCCACACUGGAACUGAGACACGGUCCAGACUCCUACGGGAGGCAGCAGUGGGGAAUAUUGCACAAUGGGCGCAAGCCUGAUGCAGCCAUGCCGCGUGUAUGAAGAAGGCCUUCGGGUUGUAAAGUACUUUCAGCGGGGAGGAAGGGAGUAAAGUUAAUACCUUUGCUCAUUGACGUUACCCGCAGAAGAAGCACCGGCUAACUCCGUGCCAGCAGCCGCGGUAAUACGGAGGGUGCAAGCGUUAAUCGGAAUUACUGGGCGUAAAGCGCACGCAGGCGGUUUGUUAAGUCAGAUGUGAAAUCCCCGGGCUCAACCUGGGAACUGCAUCUGAUACUGGCAAGCUUGAGUCUCGUAGAGGGGGGUAGAAUUCCAGGUGUAGCGGUGAAAUGCGUAGAGAUCUGGAGGAAUACCGGUGGCGAAGGCGGCCCUCUGGACGAAGACUGACGCUCAGGUGCGAAAGCAUGGGGAGCAAACAGGAUUAGAUACCCUGGUAGUCCACGCCGUAAACGAUGUCGACUUGGAGGUUGUGCCCUUGAGGCGUGGCUUCCGGAGCU
rnacentral:rRNA from 1 species